UGGGAGUUGGCCUUCAGUUCGAUGAUCAGGAAUGAGUCUGUGUCUGAUGUGAAAAACCCAGAAUUACAAUUCCUGGAAAUAUUUCUUCCUGCAGUGACACAACGCCAGCAGAAGGGCCUGACUCACUGAAAGAGUGGUGUCACUAUUAUAUCACUGGGGUCUCUUGAAGCUUAUGCAAUUAUGAGAUCACUUCCAUCAGCAUCUGUUGCAUCAUUUUAUGAAGAGACCAUAUCCUCGGGAAGAACAGCCAGUACCAGGUUUUGCCAUAUAUGGCAUCUUCCUCUCCCCCUUCCUCAUCCUACUGCGUGGCUCCAAGGUGGCAAGAAACAGCUACCCAACUUUACGCUGCCCAUGUGUUCCCCCCCACUGCAUAGCCUUCUGAAUGAGGGUGGAUCUUGGCAGUCUAUGAGAGAAGUUGGUGGCAGCUGCAGGAGGAAUCAGAGGCUCCCUGUUGAUAAAGGCGGACCAGAUUGUGGUUAUCUCUAUGCCAGGUACAGUGUGGUAGGGCUCCAGUUGCCAGCCACCUCACUCCUUACUCUGAGACAUUUGCUUCCUUUGAUUCUGCAGAAUGGAAAUACUAGUCUUGACCAGCUGCUAAAGGCAUGCAGUGCCUGCUUCCUGUUUUCUGUAGCAAUGGACUGCUACCUUUUGGCUUUCUGAAAGGAUUUUUUUGUGUUGUGUUAGUCACUUGGAAUUAAAUGCAAGCUAUUCAUUAAAGGGAAAAACACACACACACACCACACGCACUGUUUCAAUAAAUGAAAUUACUGUAUCAAGUUUGAAUAAGCAUGCGCCACAGCCUGGGUGUUUUGUCAAAAUGUUCCCAAAAUACUUCCAGUCAAUGUCAACAUGUCUAGAGCUUCUGCUAAAAGCCAAAGGACACCAUUUGAAACGUAAACAUUUUCUUUCUCUGUUUAUCUCUUGCCGUUGGCACACUCGGCUCUUUGUAUGCAAUACUGUACCUAGAUUUUAUUUUCACAAGAAUUUCACCAGCUUUUUGCUGGUUUUAAAAAGUCUGAAAAUGUGGGUGUGUUUUU